rnacentral:rRNA from 1 species
GUGGGGAAUAUUGGACAAUGGGCGAAAGCCUGAUCCAGCAAUGCCGCGUGAGUGAUGAAGGCCUUAGGGUUGUAAAGCUCUUUUACCCGGGAUGAUAAUGACAGUACCGGGAGAAUAAGCUCCGGCUAACUCCGUGCCAGCAGCCGCGGUAAUACGGAGGGAGCUAGCGUUGUUCGGAAUUACUGGGCGUAAAGCGCACGUAGGCGGCUUUGUAAGUUAGAGGUGAAAGCCUGGAGCUUAACUCCAGAACUGCCUUUAAGACUGCAUCGCUUGAAUCCAGGAGAGGUGAGUGGAAGUCCGAGUGUAGAGGUGAAAUUCGUAGAUAUUCGGAAGAACACCAGUGGCGAAGGCGGCUCACUGGACUGGUAUUGACGCUGAGGUGCGAAAGCGUGGGGAGCAAACAGGAUUAGAUACCCCGGUAGUCC